AGCAGUCGCCGCGGGAACACGUAGGGUGCAAGCGUUAAUCGGAAUUACUGGGCGUAAAGCGUGCGCAGGCGGUUAUAUAAGACAGAUGUGAAAUCCCCGGGCUCAACCUGGGAACUGCAUUUGUGACUGUAUAGCUAGAGUACGGCAGAGGGGGAUGGAAUUCCGCGUGUAGCAGUGAAAUGCGUAGAUAUGCGGAGGAACACCGAUGGCGAAGGCAAUCCCCUGGGCCUGUACUGACGCUCAUGCACGAAAGCGUGGGGAGCAAACAGGAUUAGAUACCCCAGUAGUCCCUGUCUCUUAUAC
rnacentral:rRNA from 1 species